rnacentral:rRNA from 1 species
UUUCUGCCGAGGACGUUCGGUCCGCCCUCUGGGUGAGUAUCUGGCACGGCCUGGGCAUCUUCUUGGAGAACGUAGCUGCACUUGACUGUGUGGUGCGGUAUCCAGGACUUUUACUUUGAGGAAAUCAGAGUGUUUCAAGCAGGCAUACGCCUUGAAUACAUUAGCAUGGAAUAAUAAGAUAGGACCUUGGUUCUAUUUUGUUGGUUUCUAGAGCUGAGGUAAUGAUUAAUAGGGAUAGUUGGGGGCAUUCGUAUUUAACU